GAUGAACGCUGGCGGCGUGCCUAAUACAUGCAAGUCGAGCGAACAGACGAGGAGCUUGCUCCUCUGACGUUAGCGGCGGACGGGUGAGUAACACGUGGAUAACCUACCUAUAAGACUGGGAUAACUUCGGGAAACCGGAGCUAAUACCGGAUAAUAUAUUGAACCGCAUGGUUCAAUAGUGAAAGACGGUUUUGCUGUCACUUAUAGAUGGAUCCGCGCCGCAUUAGCUAGUUGGUAAGGUAACGGCUUACCAAGGCAACGAUGCGUAGCCGACCUGAGAGGGGGAUCAGCCACACUAGAACUGAGACACGGUCCAGACUCCUACGGGAGGCAGCAGUAGGGAAUCUUACGCAAUGGGCGAAAGCCUGACGGAGCAACGCCGCGUGAGUGAUGAAGGUCUUCGGAUCGUAAAACUCUGUUAUUAGGGAAGAACAAAUGUGUAAGUAACUAUGCACGUCUUGACGGUACCUAAUCAGAAAGACACGGCUAACUACGUG
rnacentral:rRNA from 1 species